rnacentral:rRNA from 1 species
GGUUGGAAACGACUGCUACUACCGCAUAUUCCCUACCGGGGAAAGCAGGGUACCUUCGGGCCUUGCGCUGAUGGAUAAGCCCGGGUGGGAUUAGCUAUUACGUGAGGUAAAGGCUCCCCUAGGCCACGAUCCCUAUCUGGUCUGAAACGAUGAUCAGCCUCACUGGGACUGAGACUGAGCCCCGACUCCUACGGGAGGCAGCGGUGGGGAAUAUUGCUCAAUGGGGGAGACCCUGAUGCAGACAUGCCGCGUGCGUGAGGAAGGCCUUCGGGUUGUAAAGCACUUUCUCUGAGGAGGAAAGGGUGUAAGUUAAUACCUUACAUCUGUGACGUUACUCGCAGAAGAAGCACCGGCUAACUCCGUGCCACCAGCCGCGGUAAUACGGAGGGUGCGAGCGUUAAUCGGAAUUACUGAAUUAUAAAGCGUGCGCAGGCGGCUUGUUAAUUCAGAUGUGAAAGCCCCGGGCUCACCCUGGGAACCGGAUUUCUCACUGGCAAACUAGAGUCUUGUAGUGCAGAGGAAGAAUUCCAGGUGUAGCGGUGAAAUGCGAAAAGAUCUGGAGGAUUACCGGUGGCCAAUGCCGACCCCUGCAUUCUGACUGACGCUCAAGCACGAGAGCGUGGGGAGUGAACAGGAUUAGAUACCCUGGUCCCCACGCCGUAAACGAUGUCUACUCGAGAGUUAGGUGUCUUGAGCACUGGGCUCUCAAGCUAACGCAUUAAGUAGACCGCCUGGCCAGUACGGCCGCACGGUUAAAACUCAAAAACUUGACGGAGGUCCCGCGCCGCCCGGUGGAGCAUGUGGAUUAAUUCGAUGCAUCGCGAAGACCCUUACCUACUCUUGACGUUCUUGACAUCUUCUAAAGAUACAUUAGAUGCC